rnacentral:rRNA from 1 species
CCUACGGGAGGCAGCAGUGGGGAAUAUUGGACAAUGGGGGAAACCCUGAUCCAGCGACGCCGCGUGAGUGAAGAAGUAUUUCGGUACGUAAAGCUCUAUCAGCAGGAAAGAAAAUGACGGUACCUGACCAAGAAGCCCCUGCUAACUACGUGCCAGCAGCCGCGGUAAUACGUAGGGGGCAAGCGUGAUCCGGAUUUACUGGGUGUAAAGGGAGCGUAGACGGCAGCGCAAGUCUGGAGUGAAAUGCCGGGGCCCAACCCCGGAACUGCUCUGGAAACUGUGAAGCUGGAGUGCAUGAGAGGUAAGCGGAAUUCCUGGUGUAGCGGUGAAAUGCGUAGAUAUCAGGAGGAACACCGGCGGCGAAGGCGGCUUACUGGACUGUAACUGACGUUGAGGCUCGAAAGCGUGGGGAGCAAACAGGAUUAGAUACCCUUGUAGUC